rnacentral:rRNA from 1 species
UUUUAAAUAUAAUAUUUGAUCCUUUCGUACUAAAAUAUUUAAUGUAUUUAAGAUAGAAACCAACCUGGCUCACACCGGUUUAAACUCAGAUCAUGUAAAAUUUCAAAGGUCGAACAGACCUAAUAUUUUAGCUUCUACACCAAAAAUAAAUUUUAAUCCAACAUCGAGGUCGCAAACCUUUUUUUCAAUAAGAACUAUUAAAAAGAUUACGCUGUUAUCCCUAAGGUAAUUUAAUCUUUUAAUCAUUUAUUUGGAUCAAUAAUUCAAUUAUUAUUGUAAUUAUAUAAAAAAAGUUAAUUUAAUUUUUUUGUCACCCCAACAAAACUUAAAUUAAAUUAAAAAAUUAAAAUUCUAAAAUUAAUAAUUUUAUUAUUAGUUAAACUCUAUGGGUCUUCUCGUCUUUAAAUUUUAUUUAAGCUUUUUAACUUAAAAAUAAAGUUCUAUAAAUAAAAUUGAAACAGUAAUUCUCUCAUCAAACCAUUCAUACAAGCUUUCAAUUAAAAAACUAAUGAUUAUGCUACCUUUGCACAGUCAAAAUACUGCGGCCCUUCAAAUUUCAGUGGGCAGGCCAAACUUUAAAUUAAAAUC